GCAUUGGUAGUGUAACGGUUCAACAUUGGGUCUUCCCAUGAAAGAAAGUUGGUUGACAGUCCUGACUAAACUUGAAGGUGAUUGGCCUAGCUCCGGGUUCGACUCCCGGCCAAUGCA